rnacentral:misc_RNA from 1 species
GUACUCUCACACCCUCCGGUCCUUUGGAUUUGGGGGGCGGUGGACUUGGGUGUUUGCUGCUUUCCUUGUGGCUCACCUGAAAUGAGUUAGUGCACCUCUUGGUUGGACAUAGUACGGCGUGAUAAGUGUCUUCGCCGGCACCUCAUUAGAGGGUGGCCAAUUGGGGGCUCUGUGCUUUCAAACUGUCUUUGGACAAUCUCUGACA